rnacentral:rRNA from 1 species
UACCAGCACCCCGAGUGGUCGGGACGUUUAUUGGGCCUAAAGCAUCCGUAGCCGGUUCUACAAGUCUUCCGUUAAAUCCAACUGCUUAACAGGUGGGCUGCGGAAGAUACUAUAGAGCUAGGAGGCGGGAGAGGCAAGCGGUACUCGAUGGGUAGGGGUAAAAUCCGUUGAUCCAUUGAAGACCACCAGUGGCGAAGGCGGCUUGCCAGAACGUGCUCGACGGUGAGGGAUGAAAGCUGGGGGAGCAAACCGG